rnacentral:tRNA from 1 species
GGAGAAGUGGCGAAACUGGUAGACGCUAAAGUGCUUGCAAGUCCACGCAACAAACAGCAAGCGAUACAGAGAAAACUGGGCGACUUUCAUCCCCGUUCGAAUCGGGGCUUCUCCA